rnacentral:rRNA from 1 species
AUUGAACGCUGGCGGCAGGCCUAACACAUGCAAGUCGAGCGAGCGGCGGACGGGAGAGUAAUGUAUGGGGAUCUGCCCGAUAGAGGGGGAAAACUAGUGGAAACGGUGGCUAAUACCGCAUACUAUCAGAUGAACCCAUAUGGGAUUAGCGAGUAGGUGGGGUAAAGGCACACCUAGGCGACGAUCUCUAGCUGGUCUGAGAGGAUGAUCAGCCACACUGGAACUGAGACACGGCCCAGACUCCUACGGGAGGCAGAAGUGGGGAAUAUUGCACAAUGGGCGCAAGCCUGAUGCAGCCAUGCCGCGUGUAUGAAGAAGGCCUUAGGGUUGUAAAGUACUUUCAGCGGGGAGGCGUUACCCGCAGAAGAAGCACCGGCUAACUCCGUGCCAGCAGCCGCGGUAAUUC